GCGGGAUAGUGUAAUGGUAAAACACUGGGUUCAUGUAUGUUCCAAUGAUGUAGGUUCGAAUCCUGCUCCCGCUA
rnacentral:tRNA from 1 species